ensembl:lncRNA
AUGUCACUGCAAAGCCAUUCUCUGUCACUGGUCACAGUGGAAGUUCCUAAUGACAGAAAAAAAGGCAAAUGUCACAGCUAUAUCCUCAAGAAGGGCAAGAAGGAAGACGGGGAAACUAGAGGCUGAUCAACAACACCAUUGGUCCAUGGGAAGGUGAUAGAACAAAUCCUCUUACAAGCCAUUUCCAAGCACAGGAAGGAUGAGAAGUUGAUUGGCAACAUGAAUUUACUGAGGACAAAAUCUACCCUUACACCUUGAAUGCAUUCUAUGAUGUUAUGACUGUGUGGAUGAAGAGUGAGAAGUGGACAUUGUGUUCCUAGACUUAACAUCACUUCAAGAUUUUACACCUGAAACGGGUUCAUUUUCACUUGUCUGAUGCACAUUUCCAGCCAGCAGCCGGGAGACCGAAGAGGAUUCAAUCCGCAAUUGUUCUGAAAGCACACAAACUGAAUAAAUGUUUAUAACCCUAAAUGGUGUCACCGCAGCAGAUGAAUGGCAGCAGAACAAUGGGCACCGAUGCACUCUUCAGGCCGCAGCCAAGUUCCCUAGCAACUACAGAGGAGCUGUGCAGCCUGCAGAGGUACUGUGAGUGCCAGCAGGCCGUUAUCUGAGAAAUGACUGAGAAAUGAUCUUAGUGCCGUAUUUCAUUGAGGAGAUACCAUUAAUCAAUUGCCUGUUUGUAAUUCACGGAUACCACUUUUUCCCUUUGGGUAAACUGUUAGGUAAGAAUUCCUCUGGCUAGCGAUUUCAUUGUUAUUUAGUUUCAUGUAUGUGUUAGCAUUAAUUACAUAGGUUUAAAGUUGUUUGAGUUCCAAGAAAAUAGCACCAGGUAGCUGCUAUGCUGUAAGAAAAGCACACCGAGCUGAAGUUUGACACUAAGCUAAACUGAUGUAAUGGCUGCUAAAAGCUUGAGUGCCAAUUGCUUCCUUGGUUUAGAACUGUGUUUUGAAACACGUAGAUAGGUACAAGGCAAAAGGGAAAAAGAAAAGCAAUGGCUUUAUCGAAGAGACAUUGUUAUUUAUUAAAUCAGUUAAUCAUACGUUGCCAGCCUAAUUAAUAAUUGCUGGUGCAAGGAAUGCCACAGAUUAGGCUACACUGAUACCAAGUGCUCCAAACAGAUGAUAGAAAGUUGUACUCUGACCUUCCCAUGUGUCUGACUGCAACAGAGAACAGGUCACCCCAUCUUCUAUAACGCUGCGCUCUCUGCUGCUCUGUUACUCAUUGUGUCAGGGGAGGGGCAGCUGGGGGUUAGGGACAAGGUCUGCACCGGAGGGGGGUGGGCAUGGAAUGGGCUGCCCAGGGCUGUGGGCACGGCCCCCAGUGCUGGAGUUCAGAGAGCAUCUGGACAGUGCUCUCAGAUGUAGGGUCUGAUUUUGGGUGGUGCUGUGUGGAGAAUGGAGUUGGACUCGAUGAUCCUUGUGGGUCCUGUCCAGCUUGGGAUAUUCUGUGCUUCUAUAAUUCCACGAUUCUAUGAACCUAGGUGAGUUUCUUUACCAUUUUGUACAAUGAAGUCUUUCCUGCCCAACACUUCAUGUUUUUUGUAGGGGAUUGUGAAUUGUUCUUUACACACAUCUGGAAGUAGAUCGCCAACAUGUAGCUUUACUUCUACCCUGACAAACACUGCUUUCAGUCCGAUUUGACUGUCCGAUUUGACUUUUCCAUUGACCCCCUGCCUCCCUUCUCCAGGUGAGCUCACAACCUAUUUGUUAGAUUUAUCAUAUGCUACAGACUGGCAUCUACCUCUGUACUGAGGCAAGAAUUGUUAUCUUUGUAAUUUUUACCUUUGUCACAAAUAAAGGAAUUACCAUUUUACGGUAGGCCUAAGGAUUUGUGGCCACUGAUCUGGGAGAAGUAAUGGAAAGGGGCUAGAGGCUCAGAUAGAAGAGCGAUGUAUGCACAAAGUAACACUAAAUACCAAAACAAUCCCAUUUGAAAGUUCAGGAUUAAAAAGAAGUGUGAGAUUCUUGGCCUACAGCAUCAUGUUGCCUUUGGUAGAGAAGUUUUGCUUCAGAAACUAUUUUCCUGUCCUUGGUUGCCCUCUUCCUGGCCACAGAGCUUACUGCUUCCUCUGUAGAAAUGGCCCUGCUGUAAGCCAGACCUCUGAAAUGAUUUGGCAUAAAUCCCUCACUUUUUUUUUUUUUUUUUUUUUUGGUCAGUUUUUUCUUUCUUUCUUUCUUUCUUUUUAUUUCCAGUCUAGAUCAUUUUAUAAUGCAAACAUGAUACGUAAGUACUGGGAGGAUAAGCAGUGAAUGUGGCACUGGGAACCAACAAGUUUCCUAACACUGCCCUCAUCUGACUGAAAUCUGAUUAGUCUUAAACUGUGGAGUGCUCUUUGCCUCAGAAUUAAACAACCUGUGUCCCACGUAUUCCUAUUCCACAGGUAUUGCAAAGUGAGUAGGAGAAGAUGAGGAAUUGGACGUUAAGAGACGUGAAACAUCAGAGAUGGUAGAGUUAGGUAGAGGGACUAGUAAUUCUUUUUUUUUUUUCUGAAGGUGAGGAGAAUGUUCAAGGGGAAUAAAGUUAUGUGUAAGGCAGCUGUGUGGAGGAGGAUCGGGUGAAUUAAAAGGGAGACAUGUUUAAGGGGAUAGAAACUGUACAUGUAAAAGGAUGACUGUGAAGCAGGUAGAGAAAAAAGAAGGCUACAAGAAACUUUAAUGACUUCAUGUUGAGCAAGUCUAGAACAGAGGAAUUAAGUCAUUACACAUAGCAAGGCUUCUCAAACAAGAGGGCUGUUUGGCCUAUCAGUACUGGAAGAGCACAGAUCUUACAGACUUUAUCAAGCAAAAGUAACCCCAUACUUUAUCUAGACAAAAAACCAACGAAAGUCAGUAAGGUUUUAUUGACCAGUGUAGUUACUUGCCGUCUGUUACUUUGGGAUGUCACCUUCAUUGUCUAUCAUUUUGGACAGUGUUUCAGCACAGCUGGAAGAACUCUUCAACUUCAGAAGGUUUGCUUGGAAGCAGGGAGUCAGUGGGCAAUGCCACAUCACACCAGUCACUUGCCACAGAAACCUCCUAACUGCUGUCUUCUGUAUCUGCACAAGCUGUCAUGCUCAUUGUUGCACCAGGAGAGAUCUUGCACAGCAGCACUGGAGCUGGGGGAAGGCUGUAUCUCCUCAGGCUAAUCUGGUUAACCAUGAAAGCUGUCAGGACUUGUUCACCCGCAGCAAAAGACUCAUCCUGGUCACUAUAAAAGAACAAAACUGCCAUGCAGCAAGAGCUCCCCACUCAAGCUUGUGGCUCACCCUAAAAUGCAGCUGAAAGCACUCUCUCGUGCAGAGCCCAACCCCUAAAUCUCCAUCACAUGGGAAAGUUCCCCACAGCUGUGACUGUUACAGGCUUCCCUGUUGCUUCACGUGUCCUUUCCAACACUUGCUGAACCAUCAUAAGCUGUUGUUUCAGAUCACACGCACACAUGGCUUUACAAAAGGCAAAGCAUCUCUUUAAACAAUAAGCUUUUAAUAGAACCAUAGAAACAUAGAAUGGCUUGCGUUAGAAGAGACUUCAAAGGUCAUCUGAUUCCAACCCACCAGCUCAGGCUGCCCAGGGCCCCAUCCAACCUGGCCUUGAGCACCUCCAGGGAUGGGGCACCACAGCUUCUCUGGGCAGCUGUGCCAGCGCUUCACUGCCCUCUGAGUAAAAAGUUCCCCCCUAAUAUCCCACCUAAAUCUCCCCUCUUUUAGUUUAAAGCCAUUCCUGCUUGUCCUAUCACUAUAAGACCAUGUAAAAAAUUGGUCUCCCUUCUGCUAAUAAACUUCUUCUAAGCACGGCAAGGCC